AUCCCCACAACACUGUUAUCAAGUUGUUUAACAAAAUUAUCCCGAAAUCCACUCAACAACUCCACAAAACAGAAGAAAGUGUCUGCUUCAGCAGAGACCUGCAUGCCAGACAAGAAUCAAAACAAUAAUUUCUGCUGAAGAACAAUGAAGAUUAACACACAUCAAAAUAGUUUCUUCCAUCCCAGCACUAUUCCCAGUUGAAGAAAAUGCACUUGGUAAAAUCGCUGCUGAAUAUUAAGAUUAAAACUACAGUAAUCACAAAAUAAAAAUUUUAAACUACCUCAUCUAAAAACUUGAGCCGAUAAAUAGGGGAUGAUACACUCGAUUAAUUUUUGUAGGAUAAAAGUUAGCAAUUUCUUUAUGUCAUGCUUGUUCCUGAAGUAGGAAGAAGUUCAUUUGUUUUAUUUAAAUUUUUGUCUUCAACAAGCCCUCACGUGCUGGCCAGAUAAUUUUUCAUUAAAGGACAUAUGCACAUUUUUUCAUAAAUGGGUAGCGGCAAGACUUGAUGCCGAGAUGCAAAUAGCAUGUUGAACCAUUAAAUCUGAAAACUUAG
rnacentral:lncRNA from 1 species